rnacentral:rRNA from 1 species
CGGACGGGUGAGUAGCACGUGGAUAACCUACCUAUAAGACUGGGAUAACUUCGGGAAACCGGAGCUAAUACCGGAUAAUAUAUUGAACCGCAUGGUUCAAUAGUGAAAGACGGUUUUGCUGUCACUUAUAGAUGGAUCCGCGCCGCAUUAGCUAGUUGGUAAGGUAACGGCUUACCAAGGCAACGAUGCGUAGCCGACCUGAGAGGGUGAUCGGCCACACUGGAACUGAGACACGGUCCAGACUCCUACGGGAGGCAGCAGGU